AUUCACUGACGAGUCCCAAAUAGGACGAAAGGCGCGUAGUGGAU
rfam:Schistosoma mattheei strain Denwood, Zambia genome assembly, scaffold: SMTD_scaffold0011599